UAAAAUCUUCACAAUGAGUGCUGGCCUUUCUCCAGGAUUCACCCUUCUCUUCUCAUCUGUCUUUUUAAUCACUUCUGAAUUGAUCUAUUUGGACUGACAUUCAGUAGGACUCAAGAAGAACAGUUUUUGGUAGAUAUUGUUCCAGCUUCCCCAAAGGAGUCAGAUUGGCCACUCCAAAUAGAGAGACUUUAUUACCCCCAGGCCCUGCAAACCAGACCAGGCACUCUGAGACUUGUUCCAUUGAAGGUUUCUUCAUUAGCAUGUGUCAUAGACUUCUCUUUCAUUUAUUUAUUUAUUUAAGUACUGGGAAUUGAACCUGGGGGUGCUUUACUACUGCACUACAUUCCCAGCCCUUUUAUUUAUUUAUUUAUUUUACUUUGAGACAGGGUCUUGCUAAGUUGCUUAGGGCCUCACUAAAUUGCUAAGGCUGGCCUUGGACUUGCAAUCAUCCUUCCUCAGCCUCCUGAGUUGCUGGGAUUACAGGUAUGCACCACUGAGCCUGGCACAGACUUCUAUUUAUUUUUUCACUUGUCUGACAAAUAACUGUUGAAUUUGAUAAUCCCACCCCCUGCAAAAAAGAAAAAGAAAUUCCUCACAUUCAUGUCUUUUAAGGACAGUCUAAACCCUUAAGAAUUAUCCCAUAGUUUGCAGUCAAAUUCUUCUCAACAUGUAUAACUGGUGGCAUGUCUGAAGUUUUUCAAUGAAUAUUCAACUGCUCUCUAUUUUGAAUUGUGGAGAUUUGGGUGUGUUAGGAAUAAGAAGCUGACCAUUUAUUAAGUAUUUUCUUUAGUCAUCAUUGCUUUAUCUAUCUAUUGACAAAAUAAAAGUUUUAAAAUUACCUUUUAAUGAGGUGUUAAUUGAGUUAUUUGUUCUAGAGGUCCCGUUGAGUAAUUAGAGGCCAAGAGUGAAUGGAUGGGGGAAGAUAGGAAUCUACUUUCAUAUAUAUGUGGUACAAAUUUUACAUAUUUCUCAUUUUAGAGUUUGUUCAGUUUUCUUUUUCAACCGGUUCUUCUAUACCUUCAUGAAGCCCUCGCAUGUUAACACAUAUAGAUGCCUAAACCAAAUGGACCCUAUUUUCCUGAAGAGUCUAACCAGACUGGUAAAAAAUGAUUGACUGGUUGACCCCAAUCUGGAGACUCACUUUGGAUUAUGGUUCUAACCUGCAAGAAUUAGUCUAAGUGCUCUACGGUGAACUGUGCCCCAGCCCUAGCGUGCCAUGCAUUUCUUAAUUGGGCAUAGAAAAUGGACAGCUCACUUUGCUGCAGUACCAAAGCUGCUGACGCAGAAAUCCUGCCUGUCUAGAAGCAGGUCCAGCCUGGGGAACUUGGCAGAGUGACCUGCAGCUAAGACCAAAGUAAGUGCAAACUCCAAGUGGAAGGCACCAGUAAAUGUGUUAAAACCAAAUUGUGCUUCUGACUGGUGACCAUUUUUUUUUUAAUUUUUCAUAAUGAAAAAUAGCCUCUAAGCCAAUAUGUUUUCAAUUUUUCUGUAAAACACCAGUGUUUAUA